AUAUGUGUGUGAAAGAGGUUGCUAUUUAUAUUUGGGGAAAGUAUUCUUGAAUAACGUUACUGUUUAAUUUAUACGUUCAUAAGAUUAAUUAAGAGAUUAAAAACGAUUUUCUCGAGUAAUUAUUGAACAAACGUAUCUUUUUCCUAGAUCAUUAAAUUUACUUCGGUAUUAUCUAUGAUAAAGUGUAGAAAGUGCCAUUUAAUAAGAAGGUAACCUUGAUUUUUUAUUGUAAAAUAAUAUCUGCAGUUUUAAUUUUGUUUUUGUUUUACUUUUUUAUUUUUUCCAUUUAAUUAAUGAUGGAGAAGGAAUAUUUUUCCUGUUUAUGAUGUGAAUGCAAUUUUUCCUCUUUUAACUUGGUUAUGUUUUGAUUCUUAUUAAUUAUUAUAUUUGACUAUGACAAAUGUUUGAGAACGUAAAAAAUAAAGCAAAUCGGUACUACAGAACUUAUCUUAUUAGUUCAGAAGUUGCUAGCAAAGUUAGGAUUGGAACUUCAUUCAAUUCAUCAACAACACACUUCUAUAUCUUCUACAUCUUCAAAUUUCUAAAAAAUAAAACUAGUGAAGUCUGAUCAAGUGUAUUCAAAUAAGACUAUAGGAAGAAUAAAUAUCAUUAAAGAAGUAGGUAAAAGAAAUGCGUUCGUUUAUACAGUUCAAUAAUUUUUCGUACAAAUUGUAUAAGCCAUGAGCAAUAUUUUAAAUCAGAUAAGUUUAAGGAUAAUGAAAAGAAUGGAAACAUGGCUUCGAUGGAAAGGCCACAACUUCAGAAGAAAACCUGUUUCAAGGAUUGUUUUUCGAUGGAAAUAUCAUUGAAGCUUGUCUCCUAAAUAGCACCAUUAAAGAACUAUUACAAUUUCAUGGUCAAGACAUACGAUUCAACGAAUGUAACAUAAAUGUUAUCAAAAAAGCUGUGUGAUAACCUUCUUCUAUAUAAUAUCAAUGGAUGAGAAACUGCUUUCAAAUUUUUCUUGAAGCGAUUGAUGUAAAUAUGUAAUAUUUUAAGCAAAGCUUUAUAUACAAGAAUUCUUUACCUGAGCCUGUUACAUGGACUGUAAGACCACUUUACAGAGUUUUUACUGAAAAGUAAAUUUUUAUUUAAUCUAUGUUCCUCACAAUUUCCGAAAAGCUUUAUUUUUUUUAACAUAUGAUUCGUUUUAUCAGCAACUAUUUAGGUUUAUUUUAACUUUUCUAUAGUUCAUUUAUAACAUUUUCUAAUACUAAAUCACUAAAACUAUAGCGAAAUAGGUAGAAGCGAAGUUAGAAACUGGAGCAAUAAAUUUAUAAAGUAUAUAUAAGUAACCUGUGUGUUUAAUAAGUAACAAUUUUUUAAAAAAUGGAUCAUGAAUUUCACAAAUUUAGCGUUGAUGGGAUAGGUCGUUUGUAAAACAACAUAUUUUAUCAUUUUCUAUUUUGUACUGCUAUUAUCUUUUGCUUAUAUUUGGAAUUCGAAAGUGUGUGUAUUUAUUAUUUAUAAUUUCCAAUCGUUUUGAAUAAUAUGAAACGAAAUUGUAAUUAUAAUGAAUUGCAGUAUUGGAGUUGCAUCUUUGGAGAUAGUUUUUUUAUAAUAAAGUUGUGAAUAUGAGCGAUAAAACGAAUCCAGAAAAUUAUUUAGAAACGUAUCAUUUUAUUAAUAUAACUCAUAUAACCAAUCUAAUACUAGAAGUGAAUUAAAAAAUUUCAUGUAUAAAGAAAAGAGAAAAUAUGAAAAUCAGUGAGUAUGAUAGAGAAAUAGAGAAUACUAUAUAUACGUUUACGUUUAUAGAUUGAUUUGUAGAAGUAGAAAUGACAGAAGUGCCGAUAAUAGAGUAUGAACAAAAAAUAGUCUUUAGGAAUAUCAUGAAUCUCUCACUCAUUCAGGAGUUUUACUAUGGUGAAAAUAUAUUCAUUAUAAAACGAACAGGAUUUAUCGGAAAAUUUUCGAUCGAUUUAUUAUAAAUGCUCAUCUAUAUAUUUAAAAUAAUGAUAAAUUAUUAGAUUUACAAUUAUUUUAAUUAAAAUUCUUAGUUUUUGUAUUAAUCGGUUUAAUACUAAUCACUUAUAUUAGGUAUUGAUAAUUUAUUAAUAUUGAUCAUUAAGUUAUUUAAAUAACUGAUUAAAAAUAUUGACUCAGUAAAUGGAAACUUUUAGACAAAUUUAUUUAAUCUAAAGAAGUUUCACUUUUAUCAUGUGUUAUGUAUUAAUCGUGUGUACUGCAUUAAAUAAUCAUUCGAGAAAGAAAGAAAUAAAAUAGGGUGUACUAAUUGAGAAUUUACGGAAGAUUUGUCAUUAUGUAUAGAACGUAUUAAAAAUGACGAAUGGAUUACAGUAUACAUCCAAUAAUUGGUAGUUCUUAUUUUAGAAUUGAGAACACUCAAUAUAUUAUCAAAAAUAUUAUCGAAAGACAGGAAACUUUCAGCUAUAUUCUUUGUCUGUUGUAAGUCAAUUUCAAAAUUUUAAUUUAACGAUUCUCUCGUUUAUCGAUGUAAUUUUCAACUAUUCGAAUGGAAACAUCGAAUAUAUAAAAAAAAUUAACAAAACGCGUAUUCCAAAUAUGAAAGAGGAAACGUUACGAAGACGAGUAAAACGUUGACUUGUGAGGAUCUCCGAUCAAAAUUCGUCCUCUUGUAUCGUAAUGAAAUUCGUUGGCUUGUAUGAAAAAUUUUCAAAUAAAAAUUCUGUAAGUAGUACAUCUAAUUCCAGCUUUA